rnacentral:tRNA from 1 species
GCUGGAGUAGCUCAGUUGGCAGAGCACGUCCUUGGUAAGGACGGGGUCAUGGGUUCAAUUCCCUUCUCCAGCU